rnacentral:rRNA from 1 species
AGCCUUGUGUGAAUACCGUAGGGGGUAGAGCACUGGAUGGGCUAGGGGGUCCCACAGACUUACCAAACCUAACCAAACUCCGAAUACCUACGAGUACUGCACAGGAGACACACGGCGGGUGCUAACGUCCGUCGUGGAGAGGGAAACAACCCAGACCAACAGCUAAGGCCCCCAAUUCGUGGCUAAGUGGGAAAGGAUGUGGAAAUCCCAAAACAACCAGGAGGUUGGCUUAGAAGCAGCCAUCCUUUAAAGAAAGCGUAACAGCUCACUGGUCUAAACAAGGGUUUCUGCGCCGAAGAUGUACCGGGGCUCAAGCCACGAGCCGAAGCUUUGGGUUUGUCCGCAAGGGCAAGCGGUAGCGGAGCGUUCUGUAAGCCUGUGAAGGGACAGCCGUGAGGCAUCCUGGAGGUAUCAGAAGUGCGAAUGCUGACAUGAGUAACGACAAACAGAGUGAAAGACUCUGUCGCCGAAAGUCCAAGGGUUCCUGCGUAAAGUUAAUCUUCGCAGGGUUAGCCGGCCCCUAAGGCGAGGCCGAAAGGCGUAGUCGAUGGGAACCACGUUAAUAUUCGUGG